rnacentral:rRNA from 1 species
GAAUUGACGGGGGCCCGCACAAGCAGUGGAGUAUGUGGUUUAAUUCGAAGCAACGCGAAGAACCUUACCAGGGCUUGACAUCCUAAGAAUCCUGUAGAGAUACGGGAGUGCCUUCGGGAACUUAGAGACAGGUGGUGCAUGGUUGUCGUCAGCUCGUGUCGUGAGAUGUUGGGUUAAGUCCCGCAACGAGCGCAACCCUUAUUGUUAGUUGCCAGCAUUUAGUUGGGCACUCUAGCGAGACUGCCGGUGACAAAUCGGAGGAAGGUGGGGACGACGUCAAAUCAUCAUGCCCCUUAUGUCCUGGGCUACACACGUACUACAAUGGCUAUUACAGAGGGAAGCGAAGCCGCGAGGUGGAGCAAAUCUCCAAAAAUAGUCCCGGUUCAGAUUGUAGGCUGAAACUCGCCUACAUGAAGUCGGAAUUGCUAGUAAUGGCAGGUCAGCAUACUGCCGUGAAUACGUUCCCGGGCCUUGUACACACCG